CCGAGUGCUUGCACUCAAUUGGAAAGAGGAGUGGCGGACGGGUGAGUAACACGUGGGUAACCUACCCAUCAGAGGGGGAUAACACUUGGAAACAGGUGCUAAUACCGCAUAACAGUUUAUGCCGCAUGGCAUAAGAGUGAAAGGCGCUUUCGGGUGUCGCUGAUGGAUGGACCCGCGGUGCAUUAGCUAGUUGGUGAGGUAACGGCUCACCAAGGCCACGAUGCAUAGCCGACCUGAGAGGGUGAUCGGCCACACUGGGACUGAGACACGGCCCAGACUCCUACGGGAGGCAGCAGUAGGGAAUCUUCGGCAAUGGACGAAAGUCUGACCGAGCAACGCCGCGUGAGUGAAGAAGGUUUUCGGAUCGUAAAACUCUGUUGUUAGAGAAGAACAAGGACGUUAGUAACUGAACGUCCCCUGACGGUAUCUAACCAGAAAGCCACGGCUAACUACGUGCCAGCAGCCGCGGUAAUACGUAGGUGGCAAGCGUUGUCCGGAUUUAUUGGGCGUAAAGCGAGCGCAGGCGGUUUCUUAAGUCUGAUGUGAAAGCCCCCGGCUCAACCGGGGAGGGUCAUUGGAA
rnacentral:rRNA from 1 species